UACAGAGGUCCCGAGCGUUGUUCGGAUUCACUGGGCGUAAAGGGUGCGUAGGUGGUGAGGUAAGUCGGAUGUGAAAUCUCCGAGCUCAACUCGGAAAAUGCAUUGGAAACUACCUUGCUAGAGGGUUGGAGGGGGGACUGGAAUACUUGGUGUAGCAGUGAAAUGCGUAGAUAUCAAGUGGAACACCAGUGGCGAAGGCGAGUCCCUGGACAACACCUGACACUGAGGCACGAAAGCUAGGGGAGCAAACAGG
rnacentral:rRNA from 1 species